rnacentral:rRNA from 1 species
UACGGAGGGUGCGAGCGUUGUCCGGAAUCACUGGGCGUAAAGGGCGCUUAGGCGGCUCAUGAAGGCUGUGGUGAAAGUCCGGGGCUCAACCUCGGAUCGGCCGUGGCGACUCGUGGGCUGGAGCACUGUAGAGGCGGGUGGAAUUCCGGGUGUAGCGGUGGAAUGCGUAGAGAUCCGGAAGAACACCAGUGGCGAAGGCGGCCCGCUGGGCAGUGGCUGACGCUGAAGCGCGACAGCGUGGGGAGCAAACAGG